CAGACGCAGGCUCUCACUGACAAGUUGGUGGGGGUGAGGUUUCUUGCAUUAGUACAUUGACGCGUACAUGUUUUUCUGUUGGCUACAUACAGGAGUUCUCUAAACGAUGCUGUUUUCCUGCAUAGUUUUCAAUCCAGUCUGCAUUGAAACCUGUCAUUCCCAACAAUGUCAUCAUUUCGCUGACUGUCCGUGGACUUGGAGCUUUGCUAACACCUUCCAGUUGAGAAGGUGAAAUGCUAACUCUUCCUUGAGAGGUCCUUUUGUCUCUCCUCGGGCGGGGGAGAGAGGGAGAGGAGGGGCAACGCUCCGG